rnacentral:rRNA from 1 species
GAAGCCAUCUGAACCCUUCGGGGGGACGUUGGCGGAAUGAGCGGCGGACGGGUGAGUAACACGUAAAGAACCUGCCCUCAGGUCUGGGAUAACCACGAGAAAUCGGGGCUAAUACCGGAUGGGUCAUCGGACCGCAUGGUCCGAGGAUGAAAGGCGCUCCGGCGUCGCCUGGGGAUGGCUUUGCGGUGCAUUAGCUAGUUGGUGGGGUAAUGGCCCACCAAGGCGACGAUGCAUAGCCGACCUGAGAGGGUGAUCGGCCACACUGGGACUGAGACACGGCCCAGACUCCUACGGGAGGCAGCAGUAGGGAAUCUUCCACAAUGGACGAAAGUCUGAUGGAGCAACGCCGCGUGAACGAUGAAGGCCCUCGGGUCGUAAAGUUCUGUUGUAAGGGAAGAACAAGUGCCGCAGGCAAUGGCGGCACCUUGACGGUACCUUGCGAGAAAGCCACGGCUAACUACGUGCCAGCAGCCGCGGUAAUACGUAGGUGGCAAGCGUUGUCCGGAAUUAUUGGGCGUAAAGCGCGCGCAGGCGGCCUCUUAAGUCUGAUGUGAAAGCCCCCGGCUCAACCGGGGAGGGCCAUUGGAAACUGGGAGGCUUGAGUAUA